ACGGAAGGCAGCAGUGGGGAAUAUUGGGCAAUGGGCGAAAGCCUGACCCAGCAACGCCGCGUGAAGGAAGAAGGUCUUCGGAUUGUAAACUUCUUUUAUAAGGGACGAAGAAAGUGACGGUACCUUAUGAAUAAGCCACGGCUAACUACGUGCCAGCGGCCGCGGUAAUACGUAGGUGGCAAGCGUUAUCCGGAUUUACUGGGUGUAAAGGGCGCGUAGGCGGGGAUGCAAGUCAGAUGUGGAAUCCAUGGGCUUAACCCAUGAACUGCAUUUGAAACUGUAUCUCUUGAGUGCUGGAGAGGUAGACGGAAUUCCUUGUGUAGCGGUGAAAUGCGUAGAUAUAAGGAAGAACACCAGUGGCGAAGGCGGUCUACUGGACAGUAACUGACGCUGAGGCGCGAAAGCAUGGGGAGCAAACAGGAUUAGAUACCCUGGUA
rnacentral:rRNA from 1 species